UUUGUGAAUUUCCCGAAUGUGUUUGACAAUAAUGCCCCCUAAUUUUGAUUGUCAAAUGUCCUAUUUGACCCUCUGCACCUACGAAAUUAAUUGCAUUGUCCCAUCUUUUAUUAUUUGACAUCUUUUUCUUCCUCUAUUUAAAGUGAGAAGUAGAGCACUUGGAGGGCACUACUUUCCGUUGUGGUUCUUAGUUGAGUCCUUCUUCACCAAGACAUGGGUCUGCACUGCAUAGUUUUCACUAUGUUCUUGUUCCUAAAUAACUUUUUUUUUCUUCUCAAUCUCCACUUAUCUGAUCUACUUUGCAUUGCGGUGUGUCUUCGUUGAAAGUUUAGAAGAAGUCUGGAUCUGAAGCUGAGGGACUCAAUGUUUUAAAUGACACAUUCAUUGACGUUCGAGUUCUAGAGCAUGAAAAGGGACACUACUAAACGCGGAAGGUCAAGUGGACUUGAAUGUAAUUGGGGUCUGCAACCCCAUUAUGCAAUUCAUAUAUGUCCUUACUUGUUGGGUGGGUAGCACAACGAAUAACCGUGUUUUACAUGAUGCUGUCCAUAGACUCGAUGGUCUAAGAGUUCCUACAGGCAAUUAUUACUUAUGUCACAACGGUUAUGCAAAUGUGGAAGGCUACUUGACUCCGUACAGAGGUGUUCGCUAUUACCUACCAGAAUGGAACCGUGGCUCUAGAGGACCGCAAAAUCGUCAAGGAGCUGUUCAACCUCAAGCACUCCUUCACGCGUAACAUUGUUGAGAGAAUGUUUCAUCUACUUAAAGUUUGAAAGGGUAUUUUACGAAGUCAGUCAUUCUACCGCAUCAAGGUGCAUAAGAUAAUCUUGGCUUGGUGCCUGUUGCACAAUUUCUUAAGGAAUGAAAUGCGUGAUGAUCCAUUAGAAAAUGAGUUAUCGAGUCAUGCUGAGGGUGGGCGGAUGCUGAGUAUGAGUGUGUCUCAACAAUUAACAGUAAAGAGUUGGAGGGAUGCCUUGGAAACAUCAAUGUAUAACGAGUGGAUUAAUUGCCCAUGAUCUCAUUAUGAUUUUAUCAACACAAUUGUUGUUCUCCUAACUUAUUAUCAAUCGUGUAAUGAUGUGUGUGUCAUGUUGUAUUUGGUGAGUUAACUGUUGUGACUGUAUAAUACAACAUCUUUCUCGAAAAGAGUUUUUAAAGACAUUCUGCUAA